rnacentral:rRNA from 1 species
CCUACGGGUGGCUGCAGUGGGGAAUAUUGGACAAUGGGGGGAACCCUGAUCCAGCCAUGCCGCGUGUGUGAAGAAGGCCCUCGGGUUGUAAAGCACUUUCAGUGAGGAAGAACGCCUGGUGGUUAAUACCCAUCAGGAAAGACAUCACUCACAGAAGAAGCACCGGCUAACUCCGUGCCAGCAGCCGCGGUAAUACGGAGGGUGUGAGCGUUAAUCGGAAUUACUGGGCGUAAAGCGCGCGUAGGUGGCUUGAUAAGCCGGUUGUGAAAGCCCCGGGCUCAACCUGGGAACGGCAUCCGGAACUGUCAAGCUAGAGUGCAGGAGAGGAAGGUAGAAUUCCCGGUGUAGCGGUGAAAUGCGUAGAGAUCGGGAGGAAUACCAGUGGCGAAGGCGGCCUUCUGGACUGACACUGACACUGAGGUGCGAAAGCGUGGGUAGCAAACAGGAUUAGAUACCCCUGUAGUC